rnacentral:lncRNA from 1 species
UCCCUCCCAUCUCCUCCUUCCACCCAAACAAACAAGGCAGGAUUCCAUGAUCAACCUCAAGUCCUUGAAUGAUCAUAGUUCAUGGAAUUCCGUGCCCGACCUUGUUUUAUGCUCAGAAAGUCAGCGUUUUAAUCACAAAGUAUCUCCUCAUAAGUCACGGAACUGGCAACAGCCCAACAAUCAUGGUGGCCGCCCUGAAAAAUGCCAAAGGGCGUUGGAAAUGGAAAGGGAACACCAAAGGUGGAACCCAAAUGAUGAAACGUGUACACCACAGCACGUCAUGACACCAGUGACGUCCUUAUCUGAAAGCAUGAGCUCCUUCACAGUGCUGCCUCCAAUAGAAGACGUGAAAAGAGGAAGCUGUGAUGAUGAUGAUGCUCAGAGCACGGCUCAACCCAUGCAGAGAUGCAGCUCGGAGGGUUACCUGGUGAAGAUGGAGAAACAAAGGCAGAUUCAAGCAAGAGUCGCGCACAAGCACCAUGCUGAGAAAAUGGAAGGACAGACGGUGCGUUUGAAAGGGGUUGACAACCAGAAGAAAAGGAUAAGUAGGUUUCCCGUUACUGCUGCCAAAGGCUCGGACGGAAAAGACAAGAAUGUUUCCAGGACAAAGGCUUUGGAAUACGCCAAGACUAUAGCCAAACCCACUCGCCAAACCAAACAAAGACAGAAGGAACAAUCCAACAGACGAAUAGAGCACGCUUUGUACCAGGAAGGAGUUGAUACCUCUCAGCUUGCAACACUGGAAUUUUAUAUAAAACGGCAUGAAGAAGAAAAGAAGGCUGUUGCAAUGUUUAGAAAAGCC